rnacentral:tRNA from 1 species
UGGGGCGUAGCCAAGUGGUAAGGCAGCGGAUUUUGAUUCCGCCAUGCGGAGGUUCGAACCUCCCGCCCCAGCCA